UCUGAUUGGCUGGGCUGACUCUGUGUUUCCUGUAGAAAUGUUUGAACAUCUGAGAGACCAAAGUAGAUCCUUUAUCUUGUGAGGCAUUGUCAACAUUUCAGACACAAGAAUUCAGUUCUCAGCGAGUCGGAGUGACAGAAGGAAUGGAGAAACCCCUGGGCCUGCUUGUCCUUUGGCUGCAACUGGACUGGGUGAGCAGUAAACAGGAGGUGAUGCAGACUCCUGAAACCCUGAGUGUCCCAGAAGGAGAAAGCUUGGCUCUCAACUGCAGUUUCACUGACAGUGCUAUUUACUUCCUUCAGUGGUUUAGGCAGGACUCUGGAAAAGGUUUGACAUCUCUGUUGUUAAUUCAGUCAAAUCAGAGAGAGCAAACGAGUGGAAGAUUUAAAGCCUCAUUGGAUAAAUCAUCAAGACAAAGUACUUUAAACAUUGCAGCUUCUCAGCCUGGCGACUCAGCCACUUACCUGUGUGCUGCUGGAAGCAGCAGCUAUAAACUAACAUUUGGAAAAGGAACUCUCUUAACUGUGAAUCCAAAUAUCCAGGACCCUGACCCCGCCGUGUACCAGCUGAAAGACUCUAAAUUCGGGAACACCUCUAUCUGCCUAUUCACUGAUUUUGCUUCUGAAAAGAAUGAGUCCCAAGACAAGAAACCUGAAGUGUUCAUCUCAGGCAAAACUGUGCUGGACAUGAGCUCCAUGGAUUCCAAGAGCAAUGGUGCCUUGGCCUGGAGCAACAAAGCCGAUUUUGCAUGUACAGACGCCUUCAGGGAGGGCGAAGCCUACUCCAACUCAGCAUUUCCCUGUGAUGCCAAGUUGGUACAGAAAGGCUUUGAAACAGAUAUGAACCUAAACUUUCAAAACCUGUCAGUGAUUGGGCUCCGCAUCCUCCUCCUGAAAGUGGCCGGGUUUAACCUGCUCAUGACGCUGCGGCUGUGGUCCAGCUGAGGUCAGCAAGACCAUGAGAGCCCGUGCUCCCUCGCUCCGUGCUCCGCAUCGCCCUCCUCUCCCUCUUCCUACAGAGGGAGUGCUCCCACCCCACGAGGACAAGGCUCCCACCACCCCUCGGGCUCCCUGGCAAUGCCGUGGACAAGAUCCUGCCUGAAUUUGUGAUGAAGAUUGCCAAGGAGCUGCCAAACACUGCUGCCCUGUGCCCUGUCCCCUGUUGCUGCUUGUCACUGCCUGACACCCCGGCAGAGGCAGGGCUGUGCAGAAACCCCUCGCCCUCCCCACAGCUGCCUCUGCCGUCCUCUGGAGGGGAGCCCCGGGGGUUCUCUCGGACUCUAGCUCCUGGAGAGUGUUGUGAAGAGUUUGUUUUUGUUUUUUACUAGUGUUCAUAAAGAAAUACAUGUUGCUCUGUUUCUCAAGAUGUGGGGGAAACUGUCUCAUUAUCGAGGCCCUGCUAUGCUGUGUAUCUGAGCCGCACUGUAUAUAUCCUGCUGCCCGAGGCUUCAUUAAAAGUGAUUGGAAGAGCA